GCACUGGGCACUAAAGGGGCAUUUUAGUAAAGGACAUGUAGUCACAGCAGAACAUUCCUUCCAGCUCACAGGAGGAGAACAGGAAAGAUGGAAAGAUCCUUAAAGAAGGAAAUCCAAUGAGGAGAAGUCAGGAAUAACGCAACCACUUGCUUCAGGACAAGUGGCCCAGAUGUCGGGAGUAAAUGACGACUGCUAUGUUCGUCCAACAACAGAACACCUCAAUCACUCAAUCUGAGCCAUUCUUGUCUACCCCUGCCCUGUUUUCGAAACAACGGUGAACAGUUCACAGCUCACUCAGGGCGGGUCUAAGGGUCUUGAACGUGGUAGUCGUGAUGCUGUCAACGCAGGGUCAGAAUGCUCUUGGAUUUCAUCAAAAACAUCUUAAUUUGUGUUUCAAAGAUGAACGAAGGUCUUAUGGAUUUGGAACAAUGUGAGGGCUGUGGAUCCCCUGUGGCUUGACAUACGAAGGAGGCAACGCCCCCCUGAACACCUAUCUGAUCAACGGGUGUCCGGGUGAACUGAGGAGGAGCUGC